rnacentral:rRNA from 1 species
UACCAGCACCCCGAGUGGUCGGGACGAUUAUUGGGCCUAAAGCAUCCGUAGCCGGUCCUACAAGUCUUCCGUUAAAUCCACCUGCUUAACAGAUGGGCUGCGGAAGAUACUAUAGGGCUAGGAGGCGGGAGAGGCAAGCGGUACUCAGUGGGUAGGGGUAAAAUCCUCUGAUCCACUGAAGACCACCAGUGGCGAAGGCGGCUUGCCAGAACGCGCUCGACGGUGAGGGAUGAAAGCGUGGGGAGCAAACAGG